UUUAUGGAGAGUUUGAUCCUGGCUCAGGAUGAACGCUGGCGGCGUGCCUAAUACAUGCAAGUCGAGCGAACGGACGAGAAGCUUGCUUCUCUGAUGUUAGCGGCGGACGGGUGAGUAACACGUGGAUAACCUACCUAUAAGACUGGGAUAACUUCGGGAAACCGGAGCUAAUACCGGAUAAUAUUUUGAACCGCAUGGUUCAAAAGUGAAAGACGGUCUUGCUGUCACUUAUAGAUGGAUCCGCGCUGCAUUAGCUAGUUGGUAAGGUAACGGCUUACCAAGGCAACGAUGCAUAGCCGACCUGAGAGGGUGAUCGGCCACACUGGAACUGAGACACGGUCCAGACUCCUACGGGAGGCAGCAGUAGGGAAUCUUCCGCAAUGGGCGAAAGCCUGACGGAGCAACGCCGCGUGAGUGAUGAAGGUCUUCGGAUCGUAAAACUCUGUUAUUAGGGAAGAACAUAUGUGUAAGUAACUGUGCACAUCUUGACGGUACCUAAUCAGAAAGCCACGGCUAACUACGUGCCAGC
rnacentral:rRNA from 1 species